rnacentral:misc_RNA from 1 species
GAUGAAGAACGUAGCGAAAUGCGAUACGUAAUGCGAAUUGCAGAAUUCAGUGAGUCAUCGAAUCUUUGAACGCACAUUGCGCCCGCCAGUAUUCUGGCGGGCAUGCCUGUUCGAGCGUCAUUACAACCCUCAGGCCCCCGGGCCUGGCGUUGGGGAUCGGCGGAAGCCCCCUGCGGGCACAACGCCGUCCCCCAAAUACAGUGGCGGUCCCGCCGCAGCUUCCAUUGCGUAGUAGCUAACACCUCGCAACUGGAGAGCGGCGCGGCCACGCCGUAAAACACCCAACUUCUGAAUGUUGACCUCGAAUCAGGUAGGAAUACCCGCUGAACUUAAGCAUAUCAAUAAGCGGAGGA